rnacentral:tRNA from 1 species
GGAAUUGUAGCUUAGUAUGGUUAGAGCACUCGGCUCAUAACCGAGCGGUCGUCGGUUCAAAUCCGACCAAUUCCA